AACACGAAUGCCAGGCUUCUUUAGCAUCUGUGAUAUCUUUCGAAUCCAUUGACGACCGGGUAGUACGAAUAGGAGUAGACCACUCUGCUAUUCGUGACAGUAAUCGAAUCUUUGCCUCGUGUAUGUUCUUAGAUGUAUGAGGAAUUAAACAGGACACAGAAGACGUGGAGAAGUCCGGAUAAGUCGCGAAAGAAAAUUAGAAAAAUCACGACGCCUACGAUCUAGGGCUGCGAGAGCCAAUAUCGAACGACUGCGAAAUCACAGACUCCGGUGUCUCGUCAGCUGCUGCAUGAUCGGAGAACCCGAUACGAACCAUCUCAGCAACGUCAGACGUUGCCUCGCUGCAGUCUCAUACGUUGCGCAAUCUCGCUGACGGAUCUUCUCCUCUGCGAACUGCUUCUUCUUCGAUACAAGCCAU